ensembl:lncRNA
AUGGAUUUUGGGAUGGAUUUUGGGAUGGAUUUUGGGAUGGAUUUUGGGAUGGAUUUUGGGAUGGAUUUUGGGAUGGAUCCCGGGGGGAUUUUGGGAUGGAUUUUGGGAUGGAUUUUGGGAUGGAUUUUGGGAUGGAUUUUGGGAUGGAUUUUGGGAUGGAUUUUGGGAUGGAUCCCGGGGGGAUUUUGGGAUGGAUUUUGGGAUGGAUUUUGGGAUGGAUUUUGGGAUGGAUUUUGGGAUGGAUUUUGGGAUGGAUUUUGGGAUGGAUCCCGGGGGGAUUUUGGGAUGGAUUUUGGGAUGGAUUUUGGGAUGGAUUUUGGGAUGGAUUUUGGGAUGGAUUUUGGGAUGGAUUUUGGGAUGGAUCCCGGGGGGAUUUUGGGAUGGAUUUUGGGAUGGAUUUUGGGUGGGUCCCGGGGUGGGAGGGGUCGCACCGGGCAGGGACCCCGGGGUGCUCGGGGCACGGGGAGGUCACAGCCUUGGGGACACCGCCAGGAGCUCGGUGACAGCUCGGGGGACAUUCCCAAGAGCUGUGGCCGCUCAGGUGACAUUUCCAGGAGCCUGGUGGCCGCUCAGGUGACAUUCCCCAGGCCAAUGGCGACUCAGGUGACAUCCCUGGGAGCCUGGUGGCCGCUCAGGUGACACCCCGGGGACCUUGGUGGCCCCUCAGGUGACAUCCCUGGGAGCUUGGUGGCCGCUCAGGGGACAUUCCCCAGACUGGUGGCCACUCAAGGGACAUCGUCAAGGACUCAGUGGCCACUCAGGUGACAUUUCCAGGAGCCUGGUGGCCGCUCAGGUGACAUUCCCCAGGCCAAUGGCGACUCAGGGGACAUCGCUGAGAGCUCGGUGGCCACUCAGGGGACACUCCCCGGGCUGGUGGCAGCCCAGGUGACAUUUCCAGGAGCCUGGUGGCCACUCAGGUGACAUCCCGGGGACCUUGGUGGCCCCUCAGGUGACAUCCCGGGGACCUUGGUGGCCGCUCAGGUGACAUCACCAGGAGCCUGGUGGCGCCUCAGGUGACAUCGCUGGGAGCUUGGUGGCCGCUCAGGUGACAUCCCGGGGAGCUUGGUGGCCGCUCAGGUGACAUUCUCCAGCCCGGUGGCCCCUCAGGUGACACCCCCCCAGCCCAGGGCCACCCUCCAGCUCACCCCAAAAAAGCCCUGGGGGAGCUCUGGGGAGCGGUGUCCCCUGGCGGGGGAGGCGCUGGGGACACUUGGGGACAUUUCUGAGCACAGUGGAGCCCUCCCCAUUUUAGGGGAAAAAUUGGGGGAUUUUGGGGGAGUGCAGGAGGAAGAGGAGCCCUCCCCAUUUUAGGGGAAAUUUUGGGGAUUUUUGGGGGUGUUGGGAUGGGCAGGAGGAAGAGGAUCCCUCCCCAUUUUAGGGGAAAUUUUGGGGAUUUUUGGGGGUGUUGGGAUGGGCAGGAGGAAGAGGAGCCCUCCUCGUUCUGGGGGGAAAUUUUGGGGGGCGCAGGCCCCCCCCCCCCCCCCCCCCCCCCCCCCCCCCCCCCCCCCCCCCCCCCCCCCCCCCCCCCCCCCCCCCCCCCCCCCCCCCCCCCCCCCCCCCCCCCCCCCCCCCCCCCCC